GGGUUGAAAUUUUGCAGGGUUGUUGAAAUCAAAUUUAGGGACUUUACUGACGGGACUCUGGGCUGGCUGCUCUGUUCACUCGUCAGCGCAAGUGGCGUGACCAAGUAAUUGGGGCACGGGGCCGGCGCGGCGCGCUGCGGGCUUGCAGAAUUUUGUUUGUUUGUUUGGCCGCACGCUGGCGCAGCCACGGGCCGCAGUUACUGGGGCGCGCUGUCGUAACAAGCCGCGCGGUGUGGCCUGCACAUUGGGGUAGAGGGGGGGUAGUCUUCCCAGAUGUUCUAGUUAGUUGUUUAGUAAAUUUGACUUCAAUAACGAGCUUUUGUUAUGGUAGGCGCGGCAGGGCGCGCGAAUUUAAGCGCAAGUGAUUGGUGACUCGGGGCUCACUCAGGCGGAGGCUAUGCGUCUCACCUGUGGUCACGAGUUGUUAGUUCGUUCGUGAUGUAGGAAUUCAGGCUCACUCAGGCGGAGGCUAUGCGUCUCACCUGUGGUCACGAGUUGUUAGUUCGUUCGUGAUGUAGGAAUUCAAGCUUUCGGGCGGAAGCUAUGGCCGACGCCAGAGGCCACGAGUCGUUUAAUUUAAGUUAGGUCAUAAUGUAGUCAUCUUCAAGCUUUCGGGCGGAGGCAAUGGUCGACGCCAGAGGCCACGAGUCGUUUAAUUUAAGUUAGGUCAUAAUGUAGUCGUCAAGCUUUCGGGCGGAGGCUAUGGCCCUCGUCAGGGGUCACGCGUCAUAGUUUUUAAAAUGUAAUGUUCGUUCGGGAUUUCAAGGGCAGGAGAGGCCCCUACGUUAUUUUUUUAAAGUAAUCGAUCAAGAAAGGCUUUUCGGAAAAUGUGAGUAUGGACUUAUCUUUGUUUUAAUUUUAAGUAUUAAUUAUGAUUUGAGGUAUUCGGAAGGACUAGGGAAGUGUUUAGUGAAGUUCUCUCAUUCUCUCUCUUGUAAGGUCGUUCAAUCGUUAAGGAAGUAAAGAGAUUAUUGUUUUAAAUUGUAAUCCCGCUAUUUAAAUGUUCUUUAAAAUGAUGUUGAGUAUUUGACUUUAAGAAUAAAAUAAUUUUAAUUAAGUAUUAUGUUAUUUUGCAAAAUCUCCUUAGUUCAGCUCUCACCAGACAUCCUGUACGGGAUGACGAACCUAUGAUCCUAGGUACAGUAAAGUAUUUUAUGAAGUUAAGACUAGUUGAUGCCAAGCGAGUUGUUUCUAUGUAAAGAGCUACGAUUCUCGCCCCCCCCCUCUGAAGGUGGAUCGUGACAGAAAUGGUGGAGGCGCCGGGUAGGUUCUAUUUCUGGAGAGAGAGAGAGGUAGAUUUUUAUGUUUAUUAUUAAGUUAGUUUCAGCUUCUGAUAGCAGGUUAUUAAGAGUUUACUUGAGGAGAGGAUUACGGAAUUUUAGUCUAUAUUGGAGGAAGUCUUUGAGAUUUUUUUUUUGACGUAACAGAUGUUUAUUUGAGGAUACUUGUAAGGAUAAAGUUUAUAGUGAUAAGUUGUUUUAAGUCGUUGAAUUUAUUGUAGAUUUAUAUCGGGGAUUAUUACGUGAGGAGAAUACGUUAUAAGUUAAAUGCUUAUUAGAGAUAAUGCAAGUGGUUUAAUUUAAUUGAAGUUCAUUUUAAGAUUGUAGGUUAAGAGAGUUAAAAUUUAAAAUAAAGUUUUUUUCGUAAAUAGGAAUUAUUUUCAAGUCAAGUUUGUUUUGCUGUCGUGCGCUUAGGAGACGAGACGUACGAAUUAAAUCAGUCGAGGGAAGGAUAGACGGUAAAAAGGAAUUAAAGAGAAAACGAGAGUUUAUUUAAAAGAGAGUUAUAGAAUUUAUAGUGAUGUUUUGUUUUAAUAAGAAAAAUGUUGAGAGUUGUUUCAGAACGACACGUCAGUGGACGUGGCAGAAUGAACACGUGACGGGGAGGUGCUGAGACCUAGCGGAGAACGGAGGAACCGCAAGCGAGGGUUGGCGCACCUGAUGGAAUUCGGUGACGUCACGAGCACGUACAGAGACGUGGACGGCCGUGACCUUGUUUUGAUCAGCUGUACGGUAACUUAGCGAUAAGAAAAUAGACUAUUGGUUAAAUAAAUUUAAAUUUAAGUGUGUUUUAGAAGAAGAGGAACUUUCAGUAUAUUCCUUAAGAUGAGCUGAGCAGCAGUCCAGUUUACAAGAUGACAAGAGUUCGAGAGACAAGAUACAAGAUCACUGAAACAAGAGCCAAGACUGAAGAUUCAAGAGAAGAGAAAGCUGGCAGCCAUGGACUUACAAGUGGAGAUUAAUAAGGUCAUGUAAAGUUUUAUUUUUUUUUAUGGAAGACAGUAACUGGA